UGGGGCGUGGCCAAGUGGUAAGGCAACGGGUUUUGGUCCCGCUAUGCGAAGGUUCGAAUCCUUCCGUCCCAG
rnacentral:tRNA from 1 species